ensembl:lncRNA
UGUAUCAUUACUUGAAACAUCCCAAUCCUCCAAAGCGGCAUUGUAUAGUAUUGACAAUUGUACUUUGUCAUAGGAUUUAUUUAAAUUGUGUCCCACAUGCGUGUAACGUGGACACGCGUCAGGUGCGUGUAACCCGCUGUGAACCCACGUUAGCCCACGUGCAACGAGACGAGAUGAAAGCAAAGUGCUGCUGCAUUUAAAAUGAUUUGGUCAACUUACCUCCAUGUGGCCUCAAUGGGGGAGCAGCGACCUCGCAGCCAAAUCCAGCUCGAUAAACAAUGUCAACCUGAAUAUUUCCGUUUUCUGCUUGAACAUGUUAUAGUUUGAACUCAGUUCUUUUUUCAAUGAAAUAUUUUUUUUCAAUCUUCACUUUUUUUUAAUAUUUGCUGCAUUGUAAUUUUCAGUUGCAGAUUUUAUGCUUUCAGAUUAAAAUGUUGUAAAAAAGUUUUUUUUUUUUCACAUUGAGACUUUUGACCCUGAUGUUGAUGUUUAUAUAUAAGUAUUAUGUAAUAAGUAUUAUACAAAUACUAUACAGAUUAUUUCAGAGUUUACAUGAAAGCUUGACUAUUUUAAGCCACCAUCAUAAAUUAUGGUGGAGGAAAUUGCUCAAUAAAUGAAUGAAAUCAUAUUUCCAAUUGUCUCGGCCUAGUAAUGGUAUUAUUUAGAAACUCUAGGAUGUUGCUCUCUGUGGUACGUAAAACUACACAUCGUAAACUACGAGUCAUAUUGGUCCCUUUUCUGGCAUCAGGUGAAGAGAAGAACUUGAUAAAAACAGGUUAUAGUGGUAAAUACUAAGUCAGAAAGUCUCUUACACCCGGAUUUAAAAUCCAGUUGAAGCUAUUUGAAACUGUUCUUCCAACACACAAUGUGCAGCAUUGCAUGACACACGUGUCACUGACACGUGUCCGUCACAGUGACGGACGUGUGAACAACACCAGGAGCCUGAACCCGAGCAGCUCCGCUCAUUCCUUCCCUUCUUCCAUCCAUCACACGUCAGAAGGUCUGCUGCUGACAUGAUCCACGUCUCCACAGAGCAGAGCGGGGCGAAGAGGGCGCCCCUCGGUGUUCGUCAACAGUAACUACAUACUGACGAUAGUGCAUGUACUCUGUGUCGGACUUGAAAUAUGUGUUUCCGGUGCAGAGAGGAAAAAAAGGCUUUAAUUAUAACUUUUGGUCACUUGCAUAUCUGUCUGAUAUCAUUUUACUAGUGAGAGAUGGAUGUAGGUUCUGCACACGUUCAGCCUGAUGUAACGUAAAAACGAUGAUUAGAAAAACAAACUGGUGAUACGGUAUCUUUUAGUCGUGUGAUUGUGUCUUUUUAUAACCACAUUUUGCUUCACCAUCAUCCAAUUUAACGCUUCUGCUAAACUCAUUUAACAUAUAUCUGGAUAGAUGUAUUUACGUGUGUAUAUCUGGAUAGAUGUAUUUACGUGUGUAUAUCUGGAUAGAUGUAUUUACGGGUGGAUAUCUGGAUAGAUGUAUUUACGGUGCUGAAUCCACGUGGGAAGAGAAGACCCCGAUCUGUGAGGUUGAGUAACAUGGCGGCGCUGGUCGGACCACCCGUAAGGAUCAGAUAAGUGUUUGUGGCGAGCCUGGCCCGGAUCAGCUGGCACAGGGAAUUACACUGAUGUAGAAGUGCCCGCCCCCCCCCCCGGCCCCCCGGCCCCCGCUGCCUUAUAACCACACUGUUCCCUUGUAAUAGAUUUCAGCAGGUUUUUAGAUUUCCUCUGCCAUUGUUUAUUAUUGUUCCAGAUGACAGAGUGCAGAGUUGAGGGUGGAGGAGCUGAUGGUGGUGCUGCGUUGACGUGCGCGCCUGCUCUGGAUUUCCUACACGUAUGAGAACCAAAUGUCAUGACAGGGAUCAGAGGAAAAUCAUCCAGAUGGAGAUAUGAGAGAGGGCCUUCACAAGCGUGUGUGUCUGUGUCUGUCUGUGUGUGCCUGUGUGUACCUGUGUGUGUCUGUGUAUACCUGUGUGUACCUGUGUGUGUGUACCUGUGUGUGUCUGUGUAUACCGGUGUGUACCUGUGUGUACC